GGACCCCAUACCAGGCAGACAGAGUCAUAAAAGCUGUGUCUAAACUUGUCUGUAUUGUGCUUUCCAGCUUGGUUCCACUGUUCAACCCAGGCAGCUUGCUCGGCACUGAAUAGUGUGAAUGCAUUUAAUUACAAUCUGACAUGUGUAUUCCUGAGAAACAAAAGGCUGUGAACUGAGGGUGAUGAUUAACUGUUCUACCAGAUAAUUGCUUAAACUACUACUUAUAUUAUGCUGUAUUAUCUCUUUUGAACAAAGUGAUUAUUGGCCCUUUGUGUAGCGAUUAUACAAUCACAUCUCCUAUAAGAGCCAGAUACCAUAAGAAGCAAUAAGAAAGAAACAAUCUGCUUAUGAGUCUUAGCAGAUUUCCAUUUGGCUUGAAAGAUGCAAAUAACUACUGAAUUAUCAAACAAAAGCUAAUUAAAGAUAUCAAGUUAAGAGAUGCCAAAAUUUCACUUUAAAAAAAAUAAAUCUGACUUAGUAAAGCCA
rnacentral:lncRNA from 1 species